rnacentral:rRNA from 1 species
CACGUAGGGCGCAAGCGUUGUCCGGAAUUAUUGGGCGUAAAGAGCUCGUAGGCGGUCUGUUACGUCUGCUGUGAAAACCCAGGGCUUAACCCUGGGCUUGCAGUGGAUACGGGCAUGACUGGAGUUCGGUAGGGGAGACUGGAAUUCCUGGUGUAGCGGUGAAAUGCGCAGAUAUCAGGAGGAACACCGGUGGCGAAGGCGGGUCUCUGGGCCGAUACUGACGCUGAGGAGCGAAAGCGUGGGGAGCGAACAGG